CAGCAGUUCAAGUUGCAUCCCUUUUUAUUGGGUCUAAAACAUCCGUAGCCGGUUUAGUAAAUGCCUGGGUAAAUCGUGUAGCUUAACUAUACGACUUCCGGGUAGACUGCUAAACUUGAGACCGGGAGAGGCUAGAGGUACUCCUGGGGUAGAGGUGAAAUUCUGUAAUCCUAGGGGGACCACCAGUGGCGAAGGCGUCUAGCUAGAACGGGUCUGACGGUGAGGGACGAAGCCCUGGGGCACAAACCGGAUUAGAUACCCGAGUAGUCC
rnacentral:rRNA from 1 species